UACGUAGGGUGCAAGCGUUGUCCGGAAUUAUUGGGCGUAAAGAGCUUGUAGGCGGUUUGUCGCGUCUGCUGUGAAAAUCCGGGGCUCAACCCCGGACUUGCAGUGGGUACGGGCAGACUAGAGUGUGGUAGGGGAGACUGGAAUUCCUGGUGUAGCGGUGAAAUGCGCAGAUAUCAGGAGGAACACCGAUGGCGAAGGCAGGUCUCUGGGCCACUACUGACGCUGAGGAGCGAAAGCAUGGGGAGCGAACAGG
rnacentral:rRNA from 1 species